ensembl:lncRNA
GAAGCGCCCGCAGGUGCCUGUGCCUGUGUAUCCCGACAAUAAACCAAAUCCUCUUGCUGAUUGCAUCCUGUGGUGUCUCAGUCUGGUCUUUGGAGUUAGAGGGUCUCCAUCCCGAGGGAAAGUUCUCCCUGAGAGCUUUUCAUUUGGUGCAUUGGCCAGGAAAGGAGAUCCUCCACCCAGGGACCACCGACCACCCACUGGGAGGUAAGCCGGCCGGCGUCUGUCUGUCUGUCUGAUUUUGUCUCGUUCUGUCUUAUUCUGUCUGUUCUGUGAGCGCUCAGCCAGGUCUGUGAGCGCUCAGCCAGGUCUGUUCUGUGAGCGCUCAGCCAGGUUCUGUGAGCGCUCAGCCAGGUUGUUUGGAAUUUGGGCGGGACGAAGAAGGAGCUGACGAGCUCGGACUUCUCGCCCCGCAGCCCUGGAAGAUGUUCCAAGGGUGUUAGGGGCCCGACUUUUCGGGGCCCAAUCUGGGAGAGGAGAAAGAUCCGGACUAACGGCACCUCUGUCUGUAUUUUUGGCUUUCAGAGGGCCCCGGACCUUUGCCACCUCCAUCUGACUUUUUGCUUUCAGUUUGGUACCAAAGCCGUGCAGCACGCCUGUCUGUUGUUUGUUUGACUGUUGGUGUUGUUUGUUUUCUCUGUGUUCUAAUCUUCCUUAGAACUAACAUGGGACAGUCCCUAACAACGCCCCUAAGUCUCACUCUUGAUCAUUGGAAAGACGUCCACGACCGGGCACACAACCAGUCCGUCGAGGUUAAAAAAAAAAAAAAGGAAAAGGGCAGACUCUCUACACAUCCGAGU